rnacentral:lncRNA from 1 species
UUUUUUUUUUUUUUUCCCUGAAAAACUUGGUAGAGAGGAAAAUCAAAAAAGAGGGUCAACUAACUGGACAGGUCCCUAUAGGAAACUCGAGGACCUUGUUUUUGUUGAAAUUGCUUUGUGCUUCGUGAUGUUAAUCUUUUCCACCUGGUAAGAUAGCCAGAUACAAGAGAUCAUGAUUAGUUUUUACUGAAAGGAGUAUCUUUUUUUUUUUCUUUUAAAUGCAGGAUAGGCUUAUUUACAAAAACAUACAAAUCCUGACCGCAGAGUCAAAGAGCGAGUGACUUUGCACCCAGAUUUCUGCCAGCACUGUGUUUUUUUAUUUUAUUUUAUUUUUUGUCUUUGCUGGGCAUAAUUUCCCUGUUUUUGUUUCACCUGUGUAUGUGUUUUUUUUCCUUCCCUGGACUAUCACCAUUCUGCUGCAGACACAAAGCAAUAACCAGAUAAGCUCUCCGCUUUACACCUGCAUUUAUGUGCUUGCAUUUAGGAUGGAAGCUGGGCUGAGUCCUUCCUAAAGGUUGUGCGUGAAGGGCAGUGACUGCAUCCGAGUGGCAGGAGUCUCCAUGCUCAAAGCAGAGAUCAUCUUCCCAGCACCACCUGGCUACUCUGCAAAUUAAUCUUUGGACGCCUGAAGAUGGGCACCCAGAAAAUGAGGUUGUUACUCCAACAGCCCAGGACCGGCUCUGUAUUCCCCAAAGCAAGACUUGCAUCCUGUGUGUCUUACUCCCUCUUUCUCCCGGGGGAGGAGGAGAGGGAAGUGAAUAAUUUCUGCUUUCCUUCUGUUUCUUCACAAGGAAAGAGGAGAUGAACAACGCUGGGACCCUGCUCAUUCUUUACUGUUUUUUCUUCCUCGUCACCAAAAGACGGAAAGGGAAAUGACAGCAGGCACUCAAUAUCCACUCAUCAUUUCAAUCCAGCUCCUUAACUACUUUCGCUAUCCAGUGGCAUGAUAGUCUUUGGCUUGUUAUUUACUGGCUGUUUAAUUUAAAUGUAUCCUCAUCAGGGAGCCAAAAGAUCCAGUCUUAAAGCUCUUUCGCAUGAUUUGUCUAAUCACUCUCUAAAUUAUUUAUCAUGGCUCUGAACUGUCUGGAGAUAUAAAUAUAUAUUUUCUUUUAAGCACUACGAUUUGUUCCAAAACAUCUGUAAAAAAUCAUGACUGACCUCCCAUCUGGGCAACAGCUCAGUGCUGUCCUGGGGCUGGGUCGUGUCAAGUGUGUGAGCUCUAUUUCAAAAGCAUAAAAUUCCUGACAUGGUGAAAUUCUUUUCUUACAGAUUUGUUGACAAAAGGCGGGCAGGGAAGGGAAGGGAAGGCUGCUGUUAGGAAUGCACAAGCAAGAUGCUGCAUAGCUAGGCCAGAAGUGAGUGGAACAUUUUGUUACGGAAAUGGCCGCAAAAAUGCUCCUCCCUGCCUUAGAAAACAGUUAUUUAAAGCAGGAUCGAUUGCCAGUCCUCCUUGCCGCUGUUGUCAUUUGGACAUGGCAUGUGUAAAUAAUAUUUCCUCAUGAAAGAAAACUUUCAGCGAUGACAGCACUCCUCUGGCCGCUUCCUGUCCCACAGGCAAGGCAUCAGCUCUACCCUGGAAACGGCAUCUCCCUCAGAAGAGAAAGCCCAGGAACUGCAAUUUAACUUUUCUCUAAAACCCCAGAUGAGUGAAUUUUGGCCUCUAGAUGCCAUGGUAGUGGCAUGAAUGGUACACAACUUCCAAGGAGAUUUUUAAGGUGUUUUUGGUGGAGUUACAUAGGACAUGUGGAAGUAAAAAUACAGUGACAAAGUGAAAAAAAGUACGUGACUUAAAGCAAAGCUCACUUUCCCCUAGGAUCUUUAUAAACAAAGUGGCAAUACAUGCUUUAAAGCUGUGCUUCAAAACAGAUUGCUUUACCUUUACCGAUGCCAGUGAACAAAAAUCCUUUUGUUCCCAGCUAAUGACAGCUCCUGGCUCUUCAGAGGCUGGGGACACACCUUCAGGAGACUGGAGUUACCAAGCACACAGAUGCUGAUGUAUCCCCCAUAUGUUUUGUUAACCAUGUUCUACUUUUUUUUUUUUUUUUUUCCCCCCCUUUUACUCCCACUUCAUCUUCAGUUUUCCACAGAGAUUGACCCACAACAGGCUCAAAACACCCUCAAACUUUAGGGAAGUUCAGGCGCACAUCUGGAUCCCAGCUCUGCAGCUUGAGCCAUUGCUGUUUGUUAUUGUUUGCAUUGCUUCAGGCCUCGCUUAGGGAUUGUACAAAGUGUUCUUUAAAAAAUAAAUAAAUACUGAAGUGUUCUUACAGCAUCUGAGGGAAGCACACUCCUUUUGCAAGGUGUUAGAGAGUGAUCACUAAAGAAGCAUAGAAUGGAAAAAAUUGGGGGUGCAGAGGGCACUGGGGCUUCAGAAAAUAAGGUUUUGAUGGUUUUAGGGUUCUCAGAGUCAGAGUCAUUUCCACAUAAGUCCCUGUACCAGCUGAAGGGAGAGUACCAAGGCUUUGAAGACCAUCCAGGUGCCCUAAGUCAGGGAACUUAAAGAUCUUGCUUGGCACAGGGAUUGUGGUGAGAUUUAGGCCAGCUGAGCCUGGCUGUUGGAGACAAGGACCUUCUCUCCUUCUGACUAAUCAGUCUUAGUAGAGAAGGAGAGGUUGAGUAACCCUCCUUGCUAAAGGCUGUGGAGACACAGAAGAGCUGCUGGUGGUGCCGGAGGUACGGAUCAUCCUCUUGUCUCUCCUAUAUUUAUCCCCCUGGCCCCAAUGAUCUAAACUCCUCGCUUUAUUUUUAUUGGGAUUUUCUUUGGAUGAACCCUAUUAAAUGCAUCACUAGUGCUGAAAUUUGCCUAUGCCAAUAAAACCAUCUGUUUUAUUAACUAACGGAGGUCUCUGGAGCGUUUCUCACAGGCACACAAGCAAGCAGCCCUUUCUGCUGCCUCCAGCGCUCUGUGUCAGCUCUGCUAACAAUGGGACGGGACCCAGGAGGUCGCUGGCAGGAAGCGCCGCUUCCCGUGUAUAAUGAACCGGCUGGGAGACUGAGGGAUGAAGAUAGCACACGAGACACACAGUACAAACUGCUGAAACAAUAAACAAACAAACGAACGGCCAGCACUUCCUCUUCUUAUAUUGUUAACAUCGCUUCCUUAGCUCAGGUUACCCCAAACCCACCCCUCAAAAUGCAGCCUUUUAGGCUCACUGGUGCUUAACCUGUUCACUGCCGGUUCUGGCUGAAGGCGCAAGCCAACACGUGCCAACAUGAUGGCCAGCAUGGGCCCUGCUGCUCCUCCUGAGGGCUUG